rnacentral:rRNA from 1 species
GCAAAGCAGCAUCGCGGUGGCGGAGCGUCGUUUGCGACGCCCAACACACAAAACAAGCGGUGAGUGCUUUGGGGUGGGGUGACUGCGUACCUUUUGUAUAAUGGGUCAGCGACUUAUAUUCUGUAGCAAGGUUAACCGUAUAGGGGAGCCGAAGGGAAACCGAGUCUUAACUGGGCGUUAAGUUGCAGGGUAUAGACCCGAAACCCGGUGAUCUAGCCAUGGGCAGGUUGAAGGUUGGGUAACACUAACUGGAGGACCGAACCGACUAAUGUUGAAAAAUUAGCGGAUGACUUGUGGCUGGGGGUGAAAGGCCAAUCAAACCGGGAGAUAGCUGGUUCUCCCCGAAAGCUAUUUAGGUAGCGCCUCGUGAACUCAUCUUCGGGGGUAGAGCACUGUUUCGGCUAGGGGGUCAUCCCGACUUACCAACCCGAUGCAAACUGCGAAUACCGAAGAAUGUUAUCACGGGAGACACACGGCGGGUGCUAACGUCCGUCGUGAAGAGGGAAACAACCCAGACCGCCAGCUAAGGUCCCAAAGUCACAGUUAAGUGGGAAACGAUGUGGGAAGGCUCAGACAGCCAGGAUGUUGGCUUAGAAGCAGCCAUCAUUUAAAGAAAGCGUAAUAGCUCACUGGUCGAGUCGGCCUGCGCGGAAGAUGUAACGGGGCUAAACUGUGCACCGAAGCUGCGGCAGCGACGCUUAUGCGUUGUUGGGUAGGGGAGCGUUCUGUAAGCCUGCGAAGGUGUCCUGUGAGGGAUGCUGGAGGUAUCAGAAGUGCGAAUGCUGACAUAAGUAACGAUAA